UACGUAGGGAGCAAGCGUUGUCCGGAAUCAUUGGGCGUAAAGCGCGCGUAGGCGGCCCUGUAAGUCCGUUGUGAAAGUCAAAGGCUCAACCUUUGAAAGCCGAUGGAUACUGCAGGGCUAGAGUCCGGAAGAGGAGAGUGGAAUUCCUGGUGUAGCGGUGAAAUGCGCAGAUAUCAGGAAGAACACCCGUGGCGAAGGCGGCUCUCUGGGACGGUACUGACGCUGAGACGCGAAAGCGUGGGGAGCAAACAGG
rnacentral:rRNA from 1 species